GGGUAGGUGACUGAUUAAAGUGAAGCAUUGUAAGUGCUUAUAUGGCUAAAGCCCCUUCCCU
rnacentral:tRNA from 1 species